AAUGAUACUUCGGCUGACAACCGCCCGGUGUGUGACCGGGAUAUGGGUGCUAUCAUCUGAAACGCAGUGGUGACUGCUCCAUAU
rnacentral:sRNA from 1 species